ACAACAAUCUUUACUUGUCCUUACCACCAAGGCAUCUCGCAUUCCUACGCUUUACUGUCUCUCCCGCCUCUCUUUCGUCACCUUUUCUCUCUCUAUUCAAACUUAAAACCUACAUAUAUUUACCCACAAAUUUAUCAUCACCGAUCCACCAACACCUAAAGAGCAAUUAUUUCUUCUCAGGCUGCAAUGGCUGUGUAUGUGUCGAUGCCUUUUCUAGUUGCUGCCGCAACCGGGAUAUAUUUCCUCGACAAAAACCAUUACCAACCAAAGGAACUCGGAGCUGGGAUUCGAGCAACCAUCCAAGAUGUUGUAGCAAAAGCGAAGGCCAAGGCGAACACUACUCAGAUGCCAAAGUUGGCACCCCAAUUUGACGGAUUAGACUCGUUUGAAACCUUGGUCGAUCGUUAGCACCCCUAAACCCUGUGCGAAAGCAUGUAUCUGCUCGUUCAGGCCCUUAAUUUACGUAACGAAUCGUAGCGACACAUGACUGAAUCUUUCCGCUCUUGUUAUAUCUUCCCUCUGUACAUACUUCAUCCAAUAUAAAAUAUGAUCGAUCUA